rnacentral:rRNA from 1 species
UACAGAGGUCCCAAGCGUUGUUCGGAUUCACUGGGCGUAAAGGGUGCGUAGGCGGUCGGGUAAGUCUGAUGUGAAAUCUCACAACUUAACUGUGAAACUGCAUUGGAUACUAUCCGGCUAGAGGAAUGGAGGGGAGACUGGAAUACUUGGUGUAGCAGUGAAAUGCGUAGAUAUCAAGUGGAACACCAGUGGCGAAGGCGAGUCUCUGGACAUUUCCUGACGCUGAGGCACGAAAGCCAGGGGAGCAAACGGG